AAAAAGGCUCUUUUAAGAGCCACCCACAUUUUCCCUGAAAAGAGCU
rfam:Canis lupus familiaris chromosome 35, whole genome shotgun sequence.